CCGGUGCUUAUUCUUCCGGUACCGUCAUCCCCCCACCGUAUUAGGGCAAGGGUUUUCUUUCCGGACAAAAGUGCUUUACAACCCGAAGGCCUUCUUCACACACGCGGCAUUGCUGGAUCAGGGUUGCCCCCAUUGUCCAAAAUUCCCCACUGCUGCCUCCCGUAGGAGUCUGGGCCGUGUCUCAGUCCCAGUGUGGCUGAUCGUCCUCUCAGACCAGCUACUGAUCGUCGCCUUGGUGGGCUCUUACCCCACCAACUAGCUAAUCAGACAUCGGCCGCUCCUAUCGCGGGACGUUACGGUCCCCCGCUUUCAACCUCAGGUCGUGCGG
rnacentral:rRNA from 1 species